rnacentral:rRNA from 1 species
AACUUCUGAAUGUUGACCUCGAAUCAGGUAGGAAUACCCGCUGAACUUAAGCAUAUCAAUAAGCGGAGGAAAAGAAACCAACAGGGAUUGCCCCAGUAACGGCGAGUGAAGCGGCAACAGCUCAAAUUUGAAAUCUGGCUCUCGGGCCCGAGUUGUAAUUUGUAGAGGAUGCUUUUGGUGAGGUGCCUUCCGAGUUCCCUGGAACGGGACGCCAUAGAGGGUGAGAGCCCCGUCUGGUUGGACACCGAUCCUCUGUAAAGCUCCUUCGACGAGUCGAGUAGUUUGGGAAUGCUGCUCUAAAUGGGAGGUAUAUGUCUUCUAAAGCUAAAUACCGGCCAGAGACCGAUAGCGCACAAGUAGAGUGAUCGAAAGAUGAAAAGAACUUUGAAAAGAGAGUUAAACAGUACGUGAAAUUGUUGAAAGGGAAGCGCUUGUGACCAGACUUGGGCUUGGUUGAUCAUCCGGGGUUCUCCCCGGUGCACUCUUCCGGCUCAGGCCAGCAUCAGUUCGCCCUGGGGGAUAAAGGCUUCGGGAAUGUGGCUCUCUCCGGGGAGUGUUAUAGCCCGCUGCGUAAUACCCUGUGGCGGACUGAGGUUCGCGC